AUUGGUUUUAAAUGAUGAAGUAUGCUAUUAUUUUAGAUAUGUGAAGAAACAAGACUGUAGUGUGCAAAUUAAAUUUUAAAUUGCUUGAUUAAUUUAUUUUAGUGGCAUGUAGCAGCGACUAUUAUUUAUUAUGCUGGAAUAAGCCAAUUUACUGUAAAUCACUUUAACAAAUGAAAUGCCCAAAGGUAUCUUAUAAACUACAGUACUGUUUUUGUUGCAGUGAAUAUAAAUGAAUCAAAAUGCAAAUUUCUAAGGCAGCUUAAAAAUGAUUCUAGCAGCAUUUGUAUAUCAAUCAUUGACCUGACUUUCAUAGUUGAUUAUAUUCACUAAGAUUUUGUUUGUUUACAUUUUUCUUCUCUCAAAGGCUGACAGAGAUCUGAAGUUGCCAACCAUUUCCAGUGAUAGACUUCCUUUCAUUUGGCGGAGGAAGUUAGAAGACUUUCAAAGGUGUGAACUACAUUUCCCAGAAUUCCCCUUGCCAUCUGAUCAUCAGUGGGCAUCUGUGGAGGUGGAAAAGAGAAGCUCCAGGAGAAGCUGCAGGCAGGUGUGUGAGCAGACUGGAGGUCCGAGCUGCUUCUAGGUGUUCUUGAGAAUUGUCACAUUGAUACUGCAGACAGAGCUGGUUGGUGGAGCUGUCCAUGGAAUUCUUGAGUUUCAUGACAGCUUUAAGUGAAUGCUUGUGAUCGCCACUUGCUUGAAGAAUGAAGAGUUUGAGUGAGGAGCUUUUCAGAGGUUUGACAGAUUGGCAGCAGUGUUUGCCUCAUCUCUGGAGAACCAUCUAUGUUGGUGCUUCAGGCUGACAUAUAUGGUAGUGGCUUUGCUGACUUUUGCAUCCCAAAUCUUCCAAUCUUGGAAAAGCUUGAAUUCUCAUACUAAAACCUUCCUAUCUUGAAUAAAGGAGUGUCUCUGGUUUCCCCCCGUGAAGCC
rnacentral:lncRNA from 13 species